rnacentral:rRNA from 1 species
AGUGAACGCUGGCGGUAGGCCUAACACAUGCAAGUCGAACGGCAGCACAGUAAGAGCUUGCUCUUACGGGUGGCGAGUGGCGGACGGGUGAGGAAUAAAUCGGAAUCUACUUUUUCGUGGGGGAUAACGUAGGGAAACUUACGCUAAUACCGCAUACGACCUACGGGUGAAAGCAGGGGAUCUUCGGCCCUUGCGCGAUUGAAUGAGCCGAUGUCGGAUUAGCUAGUUGGCGGGGUAAAGGCCCACCAAGGCGACGAUCCGUAGCUGGUCUGAGAGGAUGAUCAGCCACACUGGAACUGAGACACGGUCCAGACUCCUACGGGGGGCAGCAGCGGGGAAUAUUGGACAAUGGGCGCAAGCCUGAUCCAGCCAUACCGCGUGGGUGAAGAAGGCCUUCGGGUUGUAAAGCCCUUUUGUUGGGAAAGAAAAGCAGCAGGUUAAUACCCCGCUGUUCUGACGGUACCCAAAGAAUAAGCACCGGCUAACUUCGUG